UGAUAUGUCGAAAUCUUGGAUAAAUCCAGC
rnacentral:sRNA from 1 species